AGUGAACGCUGGCGGUAGGCCUAACACAUGCAAGUCGAACGGCAGCACAGUAAGAGCUUGCUCUUACGGGUGGCGAGUGGCGGACGGGUGAGGAAUACAUCGGAAUCUACUUUUUCGUGGGGGAUAACGUAGGGAAACUUACGCUAAUACCGCAUACGACCUACGGGUGAAAGCAGGGGAUCUUCGGACCUUGCGCGAUUGAAUGAGCCGAUGUCGGAUUAGCUAGUUGGCGGGGUAAAGGCCCACCAAGGCGACGAUCCGUAGCUGGUCUGAGAGGAUGAUCAGCCACACUGGAACUGAAACACGGUAGAGAGGCCGACGGGAGGCAGCAGUGGGGAAUAGUGGACAAUGGGAGCAAGAAUGAAAAAGCAAUAGCGCGGGGGAGAAGAAGGCCUGGGGGUUGUAAAGCCCUUUUGUUGGGAAAGAAAAGAAGCAGGUGAAUAACCCGCUGUUCUGACGGUACCAAAAGAAAAAGCACCGGCUAACUUCGUG
rnacentral:rRNA from 1 species